UCAGGAUGAACGCUAGCUACAGGCUUAACACAUGCAAGUCGAGGGGCAGCAUCAUCAAAGCUUGCUUUGAUGGAUGGCGACCGGCGCACGGGUGAGUAACACGUAUCCAACCUGCCGACAACACUGGGAUAGCCUUUCGAAAGAAAGAUUAAUACCGGAUGGCAUAGUUUUCCCGCAUGGGAUAAUUAUUAAAGAAUUUCGGUUGUCGAUGGGGAUGCGUUCCAUUAGGCAGUUGGCGGGGUAACGGCCCACCAAACCAACGAUGGAUAGGGGUUCUGAGAGGAAGGUCCCCCACAUUGGAACUGAGACACGGUCCAAACUCCUACGGGAGGCAGCAGUGAGGAAUAUUGGUCAAUGGACGAGAGUCUGAACCAGCCAAGUAGCGUGAAGGAUGACUGCCCUAUGGGUUGUAAACUUCUUUUAUACGGGAAUAAAGUGAGCCACGUGUGGCUUUUUGUAUGUACCGUAUGAAUAAGGAUCGGCUAACUCCGUGCCAGCAGCCGCGGUAAUACGGAGGAUCCGAGCGUUAUCCGGAUUUAUUGGGUUUAAAGGGAGCGUAGGCGGGUUGUUAAGUCAGUUGUGAAAGUUUGCGGCUCAACCGUAAAAUUGCAGUUGAUACUGGGAGUCUUGAGUACAGUAGAGGUGGGCGGAAUUCGUGGUGUAGCGGUGAAAUGCUUAGAUAUCACGAAGAACUCCGAUUGCGAAGGCAGCUCACUAGACUGUCACUGACACUGAUGCUCGAAAGUGUGGGUAUCAAACAGGAUUAGAUACCCUGGUAGUCCACACAGUAAACGAUGAAUACUCGCUGUUUGCGAUAUACAGUAAGCGGCCAAGCGAAAGCAUUAAGUAUUCCACCUGGGGAGUACGCCGGCAACGGUGAAACUCAAAGGAAUUGACGGGGGCCCGCACAAGCGGAGGAACAUGUGGUUUAAUUCGAUGAUACGCGAGGAACCUUACCCGGGCUUAAAUUGCAACAGAAUAUAUUGGAAACAGUAUAGCCGUAAGGCUGUUGUGAAGGUGCUGCAUGGUUGUCGUAAGCUCGUGCCGUGAGGUGUCGGCUUAAGUGCCAUAACGAGCGCAACCCUUAUCUUUAGUUACUAACAGGUUAUGCUGAGGACUCUAGAGAGACUGCCGUCGUAAGAUGUGAGGAAGGUGGGGAUGACGUCAAAUCAGCACGGCCCUUACGUCCGGGGCUACACACGUGUUACAAUGGGGGGUACAGAAGGCGGCUACCUGGUGACAGGAUGCUAAUCCCAAAAACCUCUCUCAGUUCGGAUCGAAGUCUGCAACCCGACUUCGUGAAGCUGGAUUCGCUAGUAAUCGCGCAUCAGCCAUGGCGCGGUGAAUACGUUCCCGGGCCUUGUA
rnacentral:rRNA from 1 species